AUUUACUUGUGCUUAUGCAUGCUAAAACUGGAACUAGGCAGAAAAGACUAGCAUUGCCCCUGGAGAGGGAGAUACACAGAUAUGUGAAGCUUUCCAUAAUUUU
ensembl:snRNA U6 U6 spliceosomal RNA